CAACCCUAAAAAAUAUAAGUGUCACUACUCACAAAAUACCAUGCUCGAGGGUGGCGGUGUGGACGAGACUCAAUAUCUGCAUCUUCUACAGAAAACAAAAUAAAAAUAAAAAGAAACAAAGAGAAAAGGAAAAAGAAAAUAAAACCAAGAAAAAUGUUGGGUUACCUCCCAACAAGUGCUUAAUUUAACAUCUAAAGCUCGAUGAUACCUCAUGGUCUCAAUGAACAUCAAACACAACAGACACAACAUAACGACCCACUCGAGCACUGGACGAAGAAGCAUGCUUACCUUUGGGAAACUUGAGCCUUUAUUCAGAGUCAUAAGGCGGCAUGGUCAAGUGCUCAUCCUUCACCC
rnacentral:lncRNA from 1 species